GCACCGCAGAGGUCCCCACCCCGUUUCUGAUGCACGGGUUGCUGGGCUGCUCCCAGGUCUUCUGCUCCUACACACAGUGCCGCCGGGGCCAUUUCCUGGGCGUGCGGGUACUUCUGUAGGUUAAUUCCGGCGAGUAGGAUUGCUGGGUCAAAGGGUUCCAUUGGCCUGUUCCCCUAGAGAACCCUGCUAAACGCCGGGGAAACUACAGUUAUGAGCCUCACUAAACAAAUCUUCAGGGGCCAGUGACUUCCACAGAGAUUUGCCCAGAUGUGGGUGUUCGGUGUCCCCAGGUUCGCCAUCCCGUGUCAGGCUGUGGACGCCAUCACUGAGGACUCCUAUGACACCUGCGCACAGCCGUGACUGCCAACUUCGAUGGGAGGGAAGGCGAGCGGGAGCACGAAAGGACCUGGCACUGCUUGCACGGCCACGUGUUUUCAGUCUGUAGGUUCAAGUCCCAAUAGCGAGGACUUCCCUUUUCUAGAACCAUUGUUCCUCCUGCAGACAUGCCUGCAGGCUGCUCCACAACAGGUACCUCCACUGAACACACCGAGUGUAAACGGGCAGGACACGUGCCGGGGAAUCGCUUUCUGACUGGUGCUCCCUGCCAUGUUCUGGACCCACUCACUCAUUUCCUGCGGGCCUGCACCUCAUCCAGGGAGACGCCCCUCUCAGCCCGGUGGGUGGGCAGCCACUCCCAGCAGCUCUUAACAAUCCUGACUUCAAAAGUGUGGCUGCUCGUCCUAAGCUCCUCGCUGGUCCCUGGGUAGCUGUCCUCGCCUGCUGGGCCCUGUGUGGGAGGAGGAUGCUAGCCAGCGACUCUUAGAACACGCCACCUGCACUCUGACACCACUGUCCUUUCUUCCCUCUGUCUCUGUCUUCUUAACGACCCAUUAUUUACUUUCGUGCUUUUUGGUGAGCUGACCUCGGAUUUGAUUCAGUUCCAGUCACUGGACUCACGGAGGUGGUGUCCUCGUCCUGACGCAAGAGCAACCGCCCACGUGGUUCAUCCAGGGCAGAUGUCUGGCUGGAAACCAAGCAGCAGCCCCGGCCAGACCUCAGCCUCCCUCGCAUGGGAAAGCAGAAGGAACAGGUUCCCUUUUUUGUUUCCACAAAAUGUUCGUCCUCGAGAAAAGAGAAGCGCGUGCUGCGUAGAAGUGUCAUUGUUGACUCAAGAUGCCGUCCGAAGGCCGAAAGAGGAAGGAGUGGACGUUCGGCCCUCAGGGCCGCUCAGGAGGAAUCUUCGAAGGAGGAAGAAUCUAAGAAUCAGUGGAGGCCGUGACUCGAAGACUCUUCUCUGCAUCUUUAGGCUGGGCCCUUCACACUCCUGCUGAACCCCUCCCACCAGAGGUUGUCUUGCGAUCCUGCGAGGGGCAGACGCCGGUCGAGACAAGACAGCUGUCUUCAGGGGCUGCUGCAGGGAAGGGAGGGGCACGUCGUGCCCUCCGGGGGUGCCGUGUGCGCAGCAGACUGGAGAGCUCUCUCUGAGCUCACCCAAUCCCUUUCCUUAGACUAUGCCACACAGUGUAGAAAUCCCAGCUCGGGAGGCAGUGCCGUGGGCUGCUGAAGAGUUCCCGUAAAUUGUUUUGAAAGACUUCCCAAGGAGAUGCCACAGUCCCGUUCCAGUGUAAGAGUGACUCACCAAAAGGAAAUGGUUGCUUACGUCCGAUGAGUUUCUUUACCAAUGCUCAUUAAUUUCACUUCUCAGGGCAUCUUUACUUCCUAGCUCAGCUAGGACAGUCAGAGGUAGUUUCUAAAACACUAUUCAGGUCUACGACAAACUGGGCCCUCAGGACUCCGUGUAGACUUAAAACAUCAUCCCCUCGCUGUCCCUCUGUCCGUCUCUGUCUCUCACUGGUCCCUUCACCUUGGCGCAGUAUGUUGCCUGAUCUCACCCCACACAACCUCAGAGACUGCAGAUGAAAAGUUUCCAUCGUAACUCAGCUAUUAUAAAACCUUCUAUUUUGCAACUCUAAAUUUUUAGUCCUAAAAUGGUGCUUUCUAAUAGAUGUUUGAUAUCUUUUUUUUUUUUGGUCUAAUGGACCAAAAUGGCUGCAAAUGGAAUACAAAUAGGGCAAUUAACUCUGCAUUUCUUCAAAAGUCAGGAUAAUAGUGAAAAACUAUUUUAAUGGAUAGAACCCAUUAUCCUUGAAGGCCAUAAACUUGUUUCUUUGAAAAAAUAGUGAAUUAGAUAGUUUCAUCCUAGAACUUCUAGUUUUUUUCCUGCUGUUUAAGGCACCUUCUAAUAUUCCCAGAAACUUCCAGCAACAGAGGGAUGGAAAUGAGACUCACCAAGGUACCAUUCCCAGUGGACCCUGCUCCCCUCAUCAUCGCCUAUUACCAGGCCCUUGUCUGAUCUGCAGGACUGGGGGAGUGACUUCCUCCUCUCCUUUUGACUGGCAUUCCUAUGUUUCUGACCUGAGUUGUACCCAGACCCAGACCUCACAAUGGUGCUGAUGACGAUUUCUAUCGACAUGGUUGAGAAAGAUAUUUUUCUUUCCACCAAUGUCAGCUCUGUCUCUACCCACUCCUCGUUUUUGUUCAUCUCCUUGGUGCGCAGUGAGGUCACCCAGCUUAACAGAGGUUUGUAUCUGGGAGACAGUCUUGCUCUGCCCUGGUCCCACCGCUGAUGGAGCCGGGUUUCCCCUCCCCGCCCCAUGUGCGAAGGACGUGAACACUUGUAGUGGAAAAAGCCUGUCCAAUAUUUUUGCAUAAAUUCUUCAUUCUGUCUUUUGAGCCCCCAGACCUAGAUGUCUCUUCAUAGUGUUUGCCUUGUUUUAAUGAACUUGACCACACAUUGUCCAGAAUGCUGCUUGCUUCCUUCUGAGUGCUGCCUGGUCCUCAGGGGGGACAUACACAACUUGUAAGGCCCAGUGAAAACCAGACCUGCUUAACAAUACUAAUUGUCAACAGUUGUUAAGAAUUUAAAGUUGGUGACAACAGAGCACCGGACCAAGAACAGCAGCACGGGUCAUGCCCCCAUGAAGCCUGUUGUUCCCAUAUAAGUAACUUCUUGUGACCUGGCUUAGGCAUGAUUUGGGACUUACUCUAAGAUUCUCUCUUUGCUAUUUUUAGCUUGGGAACUGAGUAAGGUCAUCCUGUAUCUUUCCAUGCUUUGAAAAUAUUCCACUGACUUCUGGCUUCUAUUGUUGCUAUUAAAAAGUCUGCUGUCGAGCUGUUAUUUUUUUUUAAGUGUUUUUCCCUCUGCUUAAUUUUGACAUUGGAAGUUUUGACGUUGAUGAGGUUUUUCUUUACAAUGUGUCGCAAUUUGUGUAUCUUGCUUUGAACUAACUUUACUUCUUGAAUCCAAUUUUCAUCCUGUCCUAGAAAAUCUUCAGCCACUAUUUUUUAGAAGAUUGCCUCUUGCCCCAUUCUUUCUUUCUGGUGCUCUGAUGUGACACAUGCUAGAGCUUCUUAUAUUUCAUGUCUUUACCUUCUCUCUCUUCUAAACAAUUCUCUUCACCUUCCUGUGCUGCACUGUAGGUGAUUUCUAGACCAUGGCCCGGGUCACUGUUUCUCUCCUUAUCUGUCUAAUCUGAGCUUUCAACACAUUGAUUGUUUAUGUUUUCCUCUUUCAUUUCUAGCUGUUAUAUUUAGUCCUUUUUCAAAUGUGUUUAGUCAUUUUUAAUUCAAUUUGUUGACAUCUCAUAUGCAUUCUGACCAGGGACCAAACCCACACCCUGGCUAUGUGCCCUCACUGGGAAUUGAACCCGUGACCUUUCCCUCUACAGGACAGCGCUCCAACCAUCCUAGCCACACUGGUCAGGGCCUUAGCCAUUUUGUACAGUCUGGUGAUUUUUGAACAAUUUUGAUUUCCCCUUUCACAUUUUAAUUAUUUUAACCACAAUUCAUAGCCUCUUCCUGAUGGUUUCAUCGCCUGCGGUUCUUGGAGUUCCCAAUGUCGGUCACCUAGGCUGCCUAUUGGGUCUGUCGCUUCUGUUCCUGGUGUACUCUUGCUCACGGCUUCCAAAGUGUUUUUGUGUUUUGAUUGUGAGCUUCUGUUGCAAAGAAGGUUCACUCUGGGUGUCUUCCGUGGCAGAGGUUGAGGUUCCGUUUCUAUGGAGAGUCUUUUAUUUGCUUUAGCAAAUGCCCCUGUGAUAUUACUUGAUUGGAACUCCUUUUAUGUUCUGUAAUUGGCUUGGGGUUUCUAGACCAUGCAGGUGAGCGAAGUUAAACCCCACACCUGUGCGAAGUGUGGCCUGUGGUUAUGAAUCUCACGGUGUCUUUUUCCUGCUAGAGGCCCCGCUGCACAGGCAGCCCAAACGUGUGCCCCCGGGCUCGGCCUGUCCUCGUCACGGGAUUUCCUUCUCUGAUCUCAGCGGUGCUUUGAAAACCAUGUUUGUUAUUUUUGUGUGGCAUGCCAAGGUGCCUUGUGGCCGGAGGUUUUUCAGAUUCUCCUCCGUGACGAUGGCCCCCAAAGCUACUUCCUGCCAUUCUGCAUUUCUGAGCCCAGAAGAAGGUUUCUCACUGUGAUUGUGUAUUUUACGAUCUCCCUCGAUGUUAGAAAUACCGUAGGAAGCAGCUCGGGAGCCCCGACCAAACCCACAGCAAUGCUAUUGUGCUCGUCAGAAAACACCUCUUACUUUUAUUUAGUGGUUAUUAUUAUUUUUGAAUCCUCCUCUGGGGAUGUGCAUUUACUGAUUUUACAAAGAGAGGGAGGGAGGGAGAGAGAAACAGCAUCAAUGUGAGAUAGAAACAUUGACUGGCUGCCUUCUGUACAGGCCCCAGCAGGGGAUGGAAGUGCAACCUAGGUGCGCGCCCUGGAUGCUAUGGAACCCGCUGCCUUUCUGGCGCGGGGACGACGCUCUAACCAACCGAGCCACCCAGUCAGGGCAACGCCUCUCAUUUUUCCAUGCAGCUUUUAUUCUGGUGAGAUUUCAGCUUUGCACGCAAAGAAAACAGCUAAUGUACUCUUUGCUAACAAUGGCUGGAGUGUGCACAGGCUGGAUUUAUUUAGCACCAACAUGUGAGAUGUUUUAAAAAAUCUAAGGAAUUCGAGGACGCCCGGGAGGGGGGCUCAGCACCGAAAGGCACAUGGGGGAGAAAGUUCCCUGAGCCCGGGGGUGGGGCUUCGGGCAGUGCAAGGGUUUCUCUCCACCGCGCCUUUCUCUGCUGUUGCAUUUCCUGCCCCUGAAAGAUCUGAUUUACCAGAAAAAUGAAAAAGUCUUCACCCAAAGAAGCACCAGAAAAGUGAAGUCAGAUUACCGUAAAAGGUUUUGCCUGGCUGAGUCAGCAGGGAGGGCAGUUGGUGAUCACUUCCUGUCCCCCCCCCCCAGUGAGGAGCCACCAGGAAGGGAAGUCUCUGCUGGGAGGUGGUAAGGUGGCUCCUGUCCUCUCCAGGGACCCGAAAGGCCCACUGCAGGAAAUGCUCUGAUGUCCGGGCUGGGGAAAUUGAGCCGCGCAGGCCAGGAAGGAAUGCCAUUCAUCUCUCUCUUCCUACUUCUCGUCAGAGGGAAGUGAGGGCCCCAUGGGGGGUUUGAGCAGGAGGCUUUCCAUAUGACUAGAUACAUGCAUUGAAAUGUUUCUAUUUUGGACUGAAAAUCUUAUAUGCUCUGAAUGCAAUACACACAUAGUGUUUGUUGUUUGCAUUGUUGUGACUGUUUUGUGACCACGCUGAAAAAAAACUGUGGUACGUUGGCAUGACAUUGGCCAACGAGGAAAUUUGGGAUCCCCGUGUUCAUGUUUUUUUUUCUUUCAAAUUAAGAUUUAUCCAGUAUUCUGCUACUAGGGCUCUGCCCUGGGUGCUUGUGAGGCUAAAAUGAUACAUCGUAGAUAGUCCCUUGGGGAUCUCGGAGUCUAAUGACCCCCGGGGAGGCCCGCACAAGGGCAGCAAGCGCUCAGUGAGACAGUUUUCCACCGGUCCAAUCAGAGAGCCACAACUAAUAUUUGAAAUUAUCCCAUAAUUUUUCAUGUGAUAAAGCACACUUAACACAAAACUGACACUUUGAACUAUUUUAGCGGCAUCAGGUGCAUUCCCAUUAUUGUUCAACCACCACCCACCAGCUAUCUCUAGAAUUUUGUCAGCUUCCCAAACCGAAACGCGGUCGCAUAAAACACGAGCUCCCUGUUCCCCUCCCCCAGCGCCUGGCGCCCACCCGUCUGCUUUCUGUCCACUUCAGCUGGACUGUUUUGGGUGCCUCCUGCAAGUGGAAUCAUACGCUGUGUGUCCUUUCGCAUCUGGCUUAUCCAUUACUCUUUUAAUAGAAA